GGCAGUGACCCUUUGUUGACCAGGGGAGGCGCGACUCAGGAGAUGGAAAAAGAUUCACCCCCUCAAAAUGCACUGAGUGGGACGAGACAUAGAUUGAUAUGUAUACGUCAUAAAAUAUUUUACAAACGGGCAACAAACCCGAAAACGAGUGGGACAUCAGACCUCGUUUUUGUGAAAGGAAUGCGUCAGCGUCCAGAAAAGACCAGCAAGGACUGAUGGGGGUGAAUAGAGACCAAUAGGAAUCAGUAGAAACCAAUUGGAAUGCACCCCUGUGUGCCUCGAGGCCAGUGCUGGCCUCUCAGGGUGGGGCUGUGUCUUCAGACCCUCAGUCCUGUGCUGAGCUCUCUAACUGUGGUAGUGGCUUGAACUCCCCGGAUUGGUUCCAGCCUGUCAGGCUGUGGCUUCAGGCCCUGGGGCCGGUGCUGGCCUCUCUAGCAGUGGCUUCAGGCCCCAGGGCACGUGCUGGCCCUUUGGGCUGUGGCUUUAGGCCCAGGGCUGGUGCUGGCCUCUCAGGCUGGGGAUGAGUCUUCAGGAUGCAGCGCCAGUGCAGGCCUGCCUGCCUGUGGCUUCAGGCCCCGGGGUCUGUUUAGGCAUCUCGGGCUGUGGCUUUAGGCGCUGGGGUCGGUGCUGGCCUCUCUUGUGAUGGCUUUAGACCACAGGGCCCUCAUGCCUCUCUGGCUGAGGCUUUAGGCCCCGGGGCUGUGCUGGCCACUCAGGCGCUGCCUUUAGGCCCUAGAGCUUGUGCCGGCCUAGAACAACGUGCAUUUGAAAAUGGCUCAUGGAAGGAAAUGAAAGCAAGAGAGCACUGAGCUCUUCUGUGUGUUUCUUGGAUUGGGAUAGAGACAGGAGAGCGUGCUCAACCUCGUGUGGUUGCUUGUAUCCAGCAACAGCAGCCGCAGCUGAGAACAUCGUCACAUCUUUAUUAGGCGCUCCUCCGUCUGU
rnacentral:lncRNA from 1 species